CAAGUUUUAGCCUACCAAUUACUUAAAAAUACAUAUAAAAUCAAAGCAAUGACUAUGAAGCUUCUAAGAAACUUUUUUAAAAGAUAUUAUGAAAUUAAUCUACUUUUACUUAUUUCUAUUUUAUCAUAUAGAUAUUUAUUAGAAUAAAUAUAUAUGUCCAUGAUAUAAGCCCUCUUUUGAAGGACGAGUUCUAUGAAGAGCAGUCACCAACUUUCAUAGAUCUUGUUAUUUUUUAUCUUGGUUUUAAUAAAUAUAGUCGAUAAAAAGUUUCAACUCUCUUUGCUGUAUUUACAAAAAUAAUUUUUGGCUUCUAUGUAUAUUCAUUAAUAUCAUAUUUUUACUAAUAAAAAAGAUAUUUUAAUCUAUUUCAACAUCACCUUGAAUCUAAGACUUCUUUUAUU
rnacentral:lncRNA from 1 species